rnacentral:rRNA from 1 species
AUGGAGACGGCGGGCCGAGGACCAGGAGGGUCGCAGUCGACGGGGGCGGAGGCCGGGUGAGCCUGGUCGUGAGCAUGCUGCGCCGUGGCGGCGUGCGUCGCGGCGGUGGGGCUGGCAGGCGCCGGCGUGCUGGUGUGGUGGGCGGUGGCGUUCCACCCGGCGCAGGAGCAGCUCUGGAUGGUGCCCGUCGGGCUCGUCCUCCUCAGCACGCCGCUCGCCGCCUGGCUCUCCCUCUUCGCCUUCGGCGCAUGCCGCCGCCUCGGGACCAGCCUCCUCUGCACGCCGAGCUGCACGGGGAGGAGCUGUGGCCGGAGCUCGCACUCGCCGCACGUGGCUGGGGCGGAGCUCGCCCGCGCCCGCCUGUGCGUGGCCAGGGCGGCCCGCACCCGCACCCGCGCCCGCCUGUGCGUGGCGGAGCUCGGCCGCGCCCGUCCGCCUGGGAGCUGCCCUACUCCGGGUCGCGGAUGA